UCGUCUUUAGCUUCAAGAAUCGGAGGUUUAUUUUUGUACCAGAAUCGAAGCCUCCAUUUGGAGCAGGUUCUUAUUUAUCUCUUUUAUUUUUUUUAUUUUCUGGAUCGCUUUUAUUUUAUUUAUUUUCCACACUCGCUUUAUUUUAUUUAAUUACCGCAUCACUUUUAUUUUAUUUAUUUCCUGCACUCGCUUUUACUUUAUUUAUUUUCUUCACUUGCUUGACUUUAUUUAUUUUCCACACUCGCUUUACUUUAUUUACUUUACGC
rnacentral:lncRNA from 1 species